rnacentral:rRNA from 1 species
UACAGAGGUCCCAAGCGUUGUUCGGAUUCACUGGGCGUAAAGGGUGCGUAGGUGGCCAGGUAAGUUUGGUGUGAAAGCUCGGAGCUUAACUCCGAAAUGGCAUUGAAUACUAUCUGGCUGGAGGGUCGGAGGGGGGACUGGAAUUCUCGGUGUAGCAGUGAAAUGCGUAGAUAUCGAGAGGAACACCAGUGGCGAAGGCGAGUCUCUGGACGACACCUGACACUGAGGCACGAAAGCUAGGGGAGCAAACAGG